rnacentral:rRNA from 1 species
GAUGAACGCUGGCGGCGUGCCUAAUACAUGCAAGUCGAGCGAACAGACGAGGAGCUUGCUCCUCUGACGUUAGCGGCGGACGGGUGAGUAACACGUGGAUAACCUACCUAUAAGACUGGGAUAACUUCGGGAAACCGGAGCUAAUACCGGAUAAUAUAUUGAACCGCAUGGUUCACUAGUGAAAGACGGUUUUGCUGUCACUUAUAGAUGGAUCCGCGCCGCAUUAGCUAGUUGGUAAGGUAACGGCUUACCAAGGCGACGAUGCGUAGCCGACCUGAGAGGGUGAUCGGCCACACUGGAACUGAGACACGGUCCAGACUCCUACGGGAGGCAGCAGUAGGGAAUCUUCCGCAAUGGGCGAAAGCUUGACGGAGCAACGCCGCGUGAGUGAUGAAGGUCUUCGGAUCGUAAAACUCUGUUAUUAGGGAAGAACAAAUGUGUAAGUAACUAUGCACGUCUUGACGGUACCUAAUCAGAAAGCCACGGCUAACUACGUG